AGAAGAGAAGAAAAGAAGAAAGAAGAGGGAAAAGAAGAGAUUAGGAAGAAGAGGGAGAAGAGAAGAAAAGAAGAAGAAGAAGAAGAGAGGGAAGAUGAAGAGGAGAGAGAGAGAGGCAGCAGCUGCAGCUAGGGCUGCAGCACCUCUGUUUCCACCCUAGCUGCAGCACCUCUGUUUCCACCAGGUGGAAACAGAGGAGAGGAUGUGUGGGGCGUUGGGGAGGAGAAGGGAAGAAGAAGAAGAAGAAGAAGAAGAAGAAGAAGAAGAGAGGAGGAUAGCUGCGGCAAGGCUGCAGCGAGGAGGUGUGUGGCGUUGGGGAGGAAAAAGGAAGAGGNNN
rnacentral:lncRNA from 1 species